rnacentral:rRNA from 1 species
UACGUAGGGGGCAAGCGUUGUCCGGAUUUAUUGGGCGUAAAGAGCUCGUAGGCGGCUAUUCACGUCGGAUGUGAAAGCUCAAGGCUCAACCUUGAGAGGCCAUUCGAUACGGGAUAGCUAGAGGUAGGUAGGGGAGAUCGGAAUUCCUGGUGUAGCGGUGAAAUGCGCAGAUAUCAGGAGGAACACCGAUGGCGAAGGCAGAUCUCUGGGACGGUACUGACGCUGAGACGCGAAAGCGUGGGGAGCGAACAGG